AGAGGUCCCACGGUGGGAACAGUGAGACACUGCUCUGAUUCACAAUGCUUCCAUGAUGCUUGAGUCACAGAGGAUAACUCAGAAGUUGUUACCAGUGCUCCUUAUGCUCCACAAAAUCCUAAUUUUACAGGCACCAUCCCAGCCAUUAGAUAUACUGCAGUGUUAAACUUCACUAUUUCAGUUGGCUCUUUCACCUUGGCAUUUCGCUACCAUCACCUCCCCAAGUGUUUUCACAGAGCAGCCUUCAAGACAAACUUUCCUUCGAGACCAGUCAACGUGCAUUCCUACCAUUUCUUCACCUCCGUCCACGUAACCGGUUCCUGUUCCUACCGUUUUACUAGAACUGCUCUUCCCAAGAGAACCAGUGACCUCGUGGUGACUAAGAACUUCAAAAUCACCCAAAAGAAAUAAAUGCUACUUCUGAUUCUUCAGAAAAAAGAAACGUAUGCUGUUCAUUUUGGGCAAGUCCAAGUUUGUUCUAGCCAUUGCUUCUCCUCUACAACCUGUGAGCCUGCACAGGAAGCCACCAAAUGAAAAUUGAAACUCUCUGAAGAGAUCAUCC
rnacentral:lncRNA from 1 species